rnacentral:misc_RNA from 1 species
UUGAAUAAACUUGAACAGGCUGUUGCUGACCUCUUGGGGUAUGUGCACGCUUGUCAUCUUUACUUCUCCAACUGUGCACAUAUUGUAGACCUUUUAAAGAAGUUUUGGGACUUGCUAGGUCCAGCCAGCUUUUGCCCUUUGCAUAUUUCUUUCUUUCUGGGUCUAUGUCAUUUUUCACAAACCUAUGAGUCUGUUUAGAAUGUUGAAUCAGAAUCAAUAAAGUUUGUAAUA